AUGUGUUGAAUGUGUAUAAUAAUGUGUUAUCACAAUAAGCAAAAGGGAAUCAGGCUAACAUUCCUGAACCUGCACACCGGGAGUGCCGUCUUUGGCGGCGACCGUGGCAACACAAAUGCGCUCAAAGACACCAAGAGAUAGGCUAGGAAGAGUUAUCUUUUCUUUUUAAGUUACUUGUACCCAUGGAAUGAAGUAGAUUUGAGAUAUGGGUAAGGGUAACAUAAAGCUGCUCAUAUUAGAGUAGUUUAGUUGACUCUCUUGGUCCUUGAAAAUUUGAGCGUGGUUCUAAUCUUGGUGGCAGUCCGUACUAGUAUCCGCAGCAGGUCUCCAAGGUGUAUAGCCUUUAGUGUCUAGAAUAAUGUAGGUAAGGGAAGUCGGCAAAAUAGUUCUGUAACUUUGGNUUCGAAGGCGAUCAGAUACCGCUCUAGUUCUAACCAUAAACUAUGCCAACUAGCAAUUUGCUUAUGUAUGUUUCAUGACUAGGUGAGAGGCCACGGGAAACCUAAGUAGGGUUAUGGGGGAAGUAUGGUUGCAAAGCUGAAACUUAAAGGAAUUGACGGAAGGGCACCACCAGGAGUGGAGCCUGCGGCUUAAUUUGACUCAACACGGGAAAACUUACCUGGUCCUGACACUAGAAGGAUUGACAGAUUGAUAGCUCUUUCUUGAUUUGGUGGAUGGUGGUGCAUGGCCGUUCUUAGUUGGUGGAGUGAUUUGUCUGGUUAAUUCCGAUAACGAACGAGACUCUAGCCUAUUAAAUAACACACAGAAUCAUGUCUUCUGCGGUGUUUCUUAAUGGGAUCAAGUGUGUUUAACACUUUGAAACAGAGCAAUAACAGGUCUGUGAUGCCCUUAGAUGUUCGGGGCCGCACGCGCGCUACAUUGAAAGACAAAAUGAGCGUUUCUGGUUUUUAACAAAACUAGUAAUCUUUGAAUGUUUUUCUUAAUGGGGAUAGGGGAUUGCAAUUGUGCCCCUUGAACGAGGAAUUCCCAGUAAGUGCUAGUCAUUAGCUAGUACUGAUUACGUCCCUGCCCUUUGUACACACCGCCCGUCGCUACUACCGAUUGAAUGGUUUAGUGAGAUCAUCUGAGUAGAUGUGCAUGUACUUUGUACGUGUAGUGUUUGCAAUGAAGAUCAAACUUGAUUAUUUAGAGGAAGUAAAAGUCGUAACAAGGUUUCCGUAGGUGAACCUGCGGAAGG
rnacentral:rRNA from 1 species